ACUCUCAGCAAUGGAUAUCUUGGCUCUUGUCACGAUGAAGAACGUAGCGAAAUACGAUACUUAGUGUGAAUUGCAGAAUCCCGUGAAUCAUCAAGUUUUUGAACGCAAUUUGUCCCCGAGGCCUCGAUCGAGGCCAUGCCUAUCUGGGCAUUGCAUCCUACACACAUGUGAUCCCUACAAGGCAUUGGGGAGGAGUGGAGAUGGUCGUUUAUUCCCAAUGUGGUUCGGUCGGCCGAAAUGCAUGCCAUGUUCUGUGUCUUGUGUCGGCGAGCGGUGAUAUUGUCCCCUUGUUUGGGCAAGUCGGUGUUGGUUGAUGCAGGGUGUGUGCAACAUUUCAGGAACCUGCUUUGCCCAUCAAAUUUCCAUCUUGGUGGAGGUAUUUGGCUCCAACAUGUGACCCCAUCUCAGGCGAGAACACCCGCUGAGCUUAAGCAUAUAAUUAAGCGGAGGAAAAGAAACUUACAAAGAUUCCCCUAGUAACGGCGAGGGAACUGGGAAGAGUCCAGCAUGAAAAUCGGAUGGUAGUGUCGCCUGAAUUGUAGUCUGUAGAAGCGUCCUUAGCAGUGGACCGGGACCAAGUCCCCUAGAAGAGGGUGCUUGAGAGGGUAAUAGCCCCGUCGGGUCGGGACCAUGCCGCACCACGAGGCAUUGUCGACGAGUCGGGUUGUUUGGGAAUGCAGCCCUAAUCGAGUGGUAAAUUUCGUCCAAGGCUAAAUACAGGCGAGAGACCGAUAGCGAACAAGUAUCGCAAGGGAACAAUGAAAAGGACUUUGAAAAGAGAGUUAAAGAGUGCUUGAAAUUAUCGGGAAGGAUGCAGAUGGAGGUCGGCGAUGCAUCUCGGUCGGAUGCAGAAUGGCUCAAGCUGGUCUGCCGCUUGACUCGAGGUGCAAACCAGCGCAGGUCGUUGCAUCGGCAUAAGCACGGGUGGAGUAUUUCCUAUUGGUUUGCCAUUUUGGUGGUUGAGGAAUGAAGCGUGCGCCCUUGGAGCAGGCCACUGUGCACCUGCACGCUUGUGGUGUUGGUUGGUGGGCUUUCCAUUCAACCCAUCUUAAAACAUGGACCAAGGAGUCUAACAUGUGUGCGAGUCGGUGGGUUUGUAAACCUGUGAGGCAUAAGGAAGAUGACGGGAGAGAACCCCUCUCCAUGGGGUGUAUUUCCAACCGACCUUGAGCUUGUGCGAAGGGUUCGAGUGUGAGCACACCUGUUGGGACUUGAAAGAUGGUGAACUAUGCCUGAGCAGGUCGAAGCCAGAGGAAACUCUGGUGGAGGCACAUAGAGAUACUCACAUGCAAAUCGUUCAUCUGACUUGGGUAUAGGGGCGAAAGACUAAUCGAACCAUCUAGUAGCUAGUUUCCUCCAAAGUUUCCCUCAGGAUAGUUGGAGCUCAUGUGCGAGUUUUAUCAGGUAAAGAAAAUGAUUAGAGGCAUUAGGGGCGUAACGCCCUCGACCUAUUCUCAAAAUUUAAAUAAGUAAGACGGUGCAGCUACUCCAUUGAUUUGUGUCACGGAAUCGAGAGCUCCAAGGGUUGGGCCUAGGGGUCUUCGUCCUCAAACUGUGGGCUGUCGGCAAUCUGCCCGAGAUGCUAUCAUGGCGAGGGAGGGAAGUCAUGUGCCAAUUGGGAUACGGACGUAGAAUGUCCUCUCGCGGGGGAUUUUCCCUAGGUGACAAAUAGUCGACUCAGAACUGGUACGGACAAGGGGAAUCCGACUAUUUAAUUAAAAAAAAGCAUUGCAAUGGUCCCUGUGGAUGCUGACACAAUGUGAUUUCUGCCUAGUGCUCUGAAUGUCAAAGUGAAGAAACUCAACCAAGCACGGGUAAACGGUGGGAGUAACUAUGACUCUCUUAAGGUAGCCAAAUGCCUCGUCAUAUAAUUAGUGAUGCACAUGAAUGGAUUAACGAGAUUCCCACUAUCCCUAUCUAUUAUCUAGUGAAACCACAACCAAGGGAACGGGCUUGGCGAAAUCAGCAUGGAAAGAAGACCCUGUUGAGCUUGACUCUAGUUCGACUUUGUGAAAUGACUUGAGAGGUGUAGAAUAAGUGGGAUUCCUUUUCGACGCAAGUGAAAUACCACUACUUUUAAGGUUAUUUUACUUAUUUUGUGGGGCGAAGACGGGUCAUUGCCCCUGUUUUUGGCCUUAAGACAUGUUUCGAUGGGUCGAUCUGGGCAGAAGACAUUGUGAGGUGGGGAGUUUGGCUGGGGUGGCACAUCUGUUAAAAGAUAAUGCAGGUGUCCUAAGAUGAGCUCAACGAGAACAAAAUUCUCGUGUGGAACAAAAGGGUAAAAUCUCAUUUGAUUUUGAUUUUCAGUACGAAUACAAACCAUGAAAGUGUGGCCUAUCGAUCCUUUAGAAUUUAAAAAUUUGAAGCUAGAGGUGUCAGAAAAGUUACCAUAGGGAUAACUGGCUUGUGGCAGCCAAGCAUUCAUAGCGAUGUUACUUUUUGAUCCUUUGAUGUCGGCUCUUCCUAUCAUUAUGAAGCAGAAUUCACCAAGUGUUGGAUUGUUCACCCACCAAUAAGAAACAUGAGAUGGGUUUAGAUCGUCGUGAGACAGGUUAUUUUUACCCUAAUGAUGAACCGCGCUGCAAUAGUAAUUCAACUUAGUACGAGAGCAACCGUUGAUUCACACAAUUGGUCAUAGCGCUUGGUUGAAAAGCCAGUGGUGCAAAGCUAUCGUGUGUCGAAUUAUGACUGAAUGCCUGUAAGUCAGAAUCCACGCUAGAAGAAAUGCUUGUCACUCCUUGAAUGUAUCUUGACCCAUAGUAGGGGUGUCACUUCGGCACCCCCAGGGGCCCAUGUCACCUGCGAACCUCGGCCGGGAAGCAUCUCAAUCGGGGCAGAUUUGAAGUUCAAUUUCAAAUGGUUGUUGAGAAGAAUCCUUUGCAGAUGACUUAAAUACGUGAUGGGGUAUUGUAAGUGGCAGAGUGGCCUUGCUGCCAUGAUCCACUGAGAUUCAUCCCUUCGUCGCCUCAGUUCAGAGCCUAUGCUCAUA
rnacentral:rRNA from 1 species